CAGUAAUGAAUAUUCCAAAAAAUGUGAGUAGUUGUCCUUUUAAGCUCAUACCCAUCGUGAAAAAUUAAAUUGUAGGAUUCAAAUACUGAAAGGUUAUAAUGCUUGCAAUAAAAUAGCUUUGAAAGGACGAAACCAAAACUUUCGACGUUUAAUUGGGUUAUUUGCUCACGAAGCCGGUUCAAGUGAUAUCUUCUUUUUGCAGCCCGAUGUUAACUUCUGAAGUGUUAAUAGUUAAUGGUCACUAAGGUAUCGUUAUAAUAUGAAACAAAAACUGCAGUGUCUUGGAAAGAGAGUGGUUUAAAGGGGCUAUAGAAUUCUGAUAGAACAAAUUCAGAAGUUUAAACAAAUAUUGGUGUAAAUGGGAUUUUUAACUUAUAAAAUCUCGUAGUGUCCUUGGUUGUCUAUUUUGACGUAAAAUAUGUGCCAGUUUUCAAGCCUUUUAUUCUUAGUAUACUAAUCAUUUGCAAAUGAAAAGUGUUUUUUGUAAAGCAUGUAAGCCGAUAACCCUUGAUUAAGGCCAAUCUAAACUUUCCAAGCUACAAAGAAUAAGUUUUUUUUGCGGUUGUAGGUUGCUUUUGAAUCAAUUAAUGUCUAAAGUUUACUCAAUUAAGAAUUGCCUGUUCACUUUAACGGAAUUUCCGUAUUAUGUAUUGACCUUUGUCUUAUUGUAUUGUAGAAUAAGUCAUCCAGACAUAGUA